UGGCGGACGGGUGAGUAACGCGUGGGCAACCUGCCCCGUNCCGGGGGAUACCGCCUGGAAACAGGCGCUAAUACCGCAUAAGCGCAUACAGCCGCAUGGCAGUAUGCGGAAAGCUCCGGCGGCACGGGAUGGGCCCGCGCCCGAUUAGCCAGUUGGCGGGGUAACGGCCCACCAAAGCGACGAUCGGUAGCCGGCCUGAGAGGGCGGACGGCCACAUUGGGACUGAGACACGGCCCAAACUCCUACGGGAGGCAGCAG
rnacentral:rRNA from 1 species